GAUGAACGCUGGCGGCGUGCCUAAUACAUGCAAGUCGAGCGAACGGACGAGAAGCUUGCUCCUCUGAUGUUAGCGGCGGACGGGUGAGUAACACGUGGAUAACCUACCUAUAAGACUGGGAUAACUUCGGGAAACCGGAGCUAAUACCGGAUAAUAUUUUGAACCGCAUGGUUCAAAAGUGAAAGACGGUCUUGCUGUCACUUAUAGAUGGAUCCGCGCUGCAUUAGCUAGUUGGUAAGGUAACGGCUUACCAAGGCAACGAUGCAUAGCCGACCUGAGAGGAUGAUCGGCCACACUGGAACUGAGACACGGUCCAGACUCCUACGGGAGGCAGCAGUAGGGAAUCUUCCGCAAUGGGCGAAAGCCUGACGGAGCAACGCCGCGUGAGUGAUGAAGGUCUUCGGAUCGUAAAACUCUGUUAUUAGGGAAGAACAGAUGUGUAAGUAACUGUGCACAUCUUGACGGUACCUAAUCAGAAAGCCACGGCUAACUACGUG
rnacentral:rRNA from 1 species